AGUGAACGCUGGCGGUAGGCCUAACACAUGCAAGUCGAACGGCAGCACAGUAAGAGCUUGCUCUUACGGGUGGCGAGUGGCGGACGGGUGUGGAAUACAUCGGAAUCUACUUUUUCGUGGGGGAUAACGUAGGGAAACUUACGCUAAUACCGCAUACGACCUACGGGUGAAAGCAGGGGAUCUUCGGACCUUGCGCGAUUGAAUGAGCCGAUGUCGGAUUAGCUAGUUGGCGGGGUAAAGGCCCACCAAGGCGACGAUCCGUAGCUGGUCUGAGAGGAUGAUCAGCCACACUGGAACUGAGACACGGUCCAGACUCCUACGGGAGGCAGCAGUGGGGAAUAUUGGACAAUGGGCGCAAGCCUGGUCCAGCCAUACCGCGUGGGUGAAGAAGGCCUUCGGGUUGUAAAGCCCUUUUGUUGGGAAAGAAAAGCAGCAGGUUAAUACCCCGCUGUUCUGACGGUACCCAAAGAAUAAGCACCGGCUAACUUCGUG
rnacentral:rRNA from 1 species